rnacentral:rRNA from 1 species
AUUAGACGAAUCAUCUGGAAAGAUGAAUCAAAGAAGGUAAUAAUCCUGUAGUCGAAAAUGUUGUCUCUCUUGAGUGGAUCCUGAGUACGACGGAGCACGUGAAAUUCCGUCGGAAUCUGGGAGGACCAUCUCCUAAGGCUAAAUACUCUCUAGUGACCGAUAGUGAACCAGUACCGUGAGGGAAAGGUGAAAAGCACCCCGGAAGGGGAGUGAAAUAGAACCUGAAACCGUGUGCUUACAAGUAGUCAGAGCCCGUUAAUGGGUGAUGGCGUGCCUUUUGUAGAAUGAACCGGCGAGUUACGAUUUGAUGCAAGGUUAAGCAGUAAAUGUGGAGCCGUAGCGAAAGCGAGUCUGAAUAGGGCGUUUAGUAUUUGGUCGUAGACCCGAAACCAGGUGAUCUACCCUUGGUCAGGUUGAAGUUCAGGUAACACUGAAUGGAGGACCGAACCGACUUACGUUGAAAAGUGAGCGGAUGAACUGAGGGUAGCGGAGAAAUUCCAAUCGAACCUGGAGAUAGCUGGUUCUCUCCGAAAUAGCUUUAGGGCUAGCCUCAAGUGAUGAUUAUUGGAGGUAGAGCACUGUUUGGACGAGGGGCCCCUCUCGGGUUACCGAAUUCAGACAAACUCCGAAUGCCAAUUAAUUUAACUUGGGAGUCAGAACAUGGGUGAUAAGGUCCGUGUUCGAAAGGGAAACAGCCCAGACCACCAGCUAAGGUCCCAAAAUAUAUGUUAAGUGGAAAAGGAUGUGGCGUUGCCCAGACAACUAGGAUGUUGGCUUAGAAGCAGCCAUCAUUUAAAGAGUGCGUAAUAGCUCACUAGUCGAGUGACACUGCGCCGAAAAUGUACCGGGGCUAAACAUAUUACCGAAGCUGUGGAUUGUCCUUUGGACAAUGGUAGGAGAGCGUUCUAAGGGCGUUGAAGCAUGAUCGUAAGGACAUGUGGAGCGCUUAGAAGUGAGAAUGCCGGUGUGAGUAGCGAAAGACGGGUGAGAAUCCCGUCCACCGAUUGACUAAGGUUUCCAGAGGAAGGCUCGUCCGCUCUGGGUUAGUCGGGUCCUAAGCUGAGGCCGACAGGCGUAGGCGAUGGAUAACAGGUUGAUAUUCCUGUACCACCUAUAAUCGUUUUAAUCGAUGGGGGGACGCAGUAGGAUAGGCGAAGCGUGCGAUUGGAUUGCACGUCUAAGCAGUAAGGCUGAGUAUUAGGCAAAUCCGGUACUCGUUAAGGCUGAGCUGUGAUGGGGAGAAGACAUUGUGUCUUCGAGUCGUUGAUUUCACACUGCCGAGAAAAGCCUCUAGAUAGAAAAUAGGUGCCCGUACCGCAAACCGACACAGGUAGUCAAGAUGAGAAUUCUAAGGUGAGCGAGCGAACUCUCGUUAAGGAACUCGGCAAAAUGACCCCGUAACUUCGGGAGAAGGGGUGCUCUUUAGGGUUAACGCCCAGAAGAGCCGCAGUGAAUAGGCCCAAGCGACUGUUUAUCAAAAACACAGGUCUCUGCUAAACCGUAAGGUGAUGUAUAGGGGCUGACGCCUGCCCGGUGCUGGAAGGUUAAGAGGAGUGGUUAGCUUCUGCGAAGCUACGAAUCGAAGCCCCAGUAAACGGCGGCCGUAACUAUAACGGUCCUAAGGUAGCGAAAUUCCUUGUCGGGUAAGUUCCGACCCGCACGAAAGGCGUAACGAUUUGGGCACUGUCUCAACGAGAGACUCGGUGAAAUCAUAGUACCUGUGAAGAUGCAGGUUACCCGCGACAGGACGGAAAGACCCCGUGGAGCUUUACUGUAGCCUGAUAUUGAAAUUCGGCACAGCUUGUACAGGAU